AACGAACGCUGGCGGCAUGCCUAACACAUGCAAGUCGAACGAUGGUCUUCGGAUCAUAGUGGCGCACGGGUGCGUAACGCGUGGGAAUCUGCCCUUGGGUUCGGAAUAACAGUUGGAAACGACUGCUAAUACCGGAUGAUGUCGAUAAGACCAAAGAUUUAUCGCCCGAGGAUGAGCCCGCGUCGGAUUAGCUAGGUGGUGGGGUAAAGGCCUACCAAGGCGACGAUCCGUAGCUGGUCUGAGAGGAUGAUCAGCCACACUGGGACUGAGACACGGCCCAGACUCCUACGGGAGGCAGCAGUGGGGAAUAUUGGACAAUGGGCGCAAGCCUGAUCCAGCAAUGCCGCGUGAGUGAUGAAGGCCUUAGGGUUGUAAAGCUCUUUUACCCGGGAAGAUAAUGACUGUACCGGGAGAAUAAGCCCCGGCUAACUCCGUG
rnacentral:rRNA from 1 species